UACGGGGGGGGCAAGCGUUGUCCGGAAUUAUUGGGCGUAAAGAGCUCGUAGGCGGUUUGUUGCGUCGGCUGUGAAAUCCCGAGGCUCAACCUCGGGUCUGCAGUCGAUACGAGCAAACUAGAGUGUUGCAGGGGAGACUGGAAUUCCUGGUGUAGCGGUGAAAUGCGCAGAUAUCAGGAGGAACACCGGUGGCGAAGGUGGGUCUCUGGGCAACAACUGACGCUGAGGAGCGAAAGCGUGGGGAGCGAACAGG
rnacentral:rRNA from 1 species